GACGAACGCUGGCGGCGUGCUUAACACAUGCAAGUCGAACGGUGAAGCGCCUUCCCUUUUGGUGGGUGUGGAUGAGUGGCGAACGGGUGAGUAACACGUGAGUAACCUGCCCCCUUCUUCUGGAUAACCGCAUGAAAGUGUGGCUAAUACGGGAUAUUCUGGGUCUGUCGCAUGAUGGGUCUGGGAAAGAUAUUGUUUCGGUGGGGGAUGGGCUCGCGGCCUAUCAGCUUGUUGGUGGGUGAUGGCCUACCAAGGCGGUGACGGGUAGCCGGCCUGAGAGGGUGGACGGUCACACUGGGACUCAGACACGGCCCAGACUCCUACGGGAGGCAGCAGUGGGGAAUAUUGCACAAUGGGCGCAAGCCUGAUGCAGCGACGCCGCGUGAGGGAUGGAGGCCUUCGGGUUGUGAACCUCUUUCGCCAGUGAAGCAGGCCUGCCUCGUUUGUGGGUGGGUUGACGGUAGCUGGAUAAGAAGCGCCGGCUAACUACGUG
rnacentral:rRNA from 1 species